rnacentral:lncRNA from 1 species
UGUGGAUCUUUAGAGGUCUUCAACCUUGGAGACUAAAGGAGAACCAAGGAGCACUCAUUUUAGCAAGGUGGAGGAAGCAAGGAGGGAGGCUAGGCUCAAGGAGUUCCAAGAACAAAGAGCUUGGAGGUGGUCCAUCCUUGGUCUCAAGUCUAGAUCAAGAGGUAUAAAACUAUACCUUCACUUUGUUCUUCAUUAAUUUCUUAGAUGCAUCAAAUAUGGACCUAUGCUUCUUUAAGGGGAUUUGCAUGACUAUAGCUUUGAUAUUAUGUGAUAACAUGCUUCCGUUGCUAAUGUAUAUAAAUUUUGAAUUGUAUAUGCAUGCUAGUCACUAGAAAUCCCAUAUAAAUCUCAUUAUUUCCCUUCAAGUGGUAUCAGAGCCAAAUGUUUAUAUUUGAUGUGUCCUUUUGGAUUUUAUGCAUAUGGGUUUUAAUUUUAUGUUUGACAUAUUAUUUCUUCAUUCAAAAUAUGUUUAUCUUUAGUUUUUCAAAUGUUGAAAAAUGUGUUUCAAGAGUUGAAAAAGAUAUGUAUGCAAAAAGUGUUUUGGAUGCAUGAAUGUAGAGUGAGUUUUGGAACAAAAUUUGGGGCUAAAGUACCAUAGGGUUUGCACGGUUUUGGGGGAUUUUUUGGCAUGUGUUUGUGUUUUAUUGUAAGUCACUCACACAUCCUUUUAAAGCUAGAAAAUCUAGAUCUUGUCACUUUUGUUUUUGAGUUUGAAAAAUCACCAAGAAAGUACAAAUCUUGAAAUUGUUUUCAUGGUUUUGUUCUUGGUGUUCAUGGUUUUGUUUUGGUGUAAAUGGUUUUGUUUUGUGAUCAUAAAUUGUUUUAUGGUUUUGGAUGAUAAACUUACCAUCCAUAGCCUUCCCAAAAUUAUUCAAUCCUAGACUUGACUAGGAGAAUUUCCAUCACCUUUACACCAAAGUCCUUAAAGCUUGUCAAGUGGCAAGAAAUAUCUUGGGUUCUUUCUACUUUAAUUUGAAUUAAUGCAAGAUAUUUGAAACCUCCCAUCCCCCUUAACAUGGCUGGCCACCCUAGUGGAUUAUCCACUUGUGGGGCUAUUUUGUAAUUUUUUAAAAAGUUGAUAAUACUUUCUAGUAUUUGCGGUUUGACCCUUAACUUUUCAUAUUUGCAUAUAAGGCCCCAUCUAUCUGACAAGUUAAAAUAUUUUGAUUUUAAUUUUGUUAGUUGUUUAAACUCAUCAUACAAUUAUGCCCAUAUGCACUAAAUCUAAUUGUAAAUGUUGCAUUCCAAUUAAUUAUUUAAUGUGAUUAAGUAGUUAGAAAAUGGUUGACUAUGGACUUAUGCCUUUAACGAUAAUUGAGCUAUGAGAAAUGGGCGCUAAACUCAAAUUGUUUGAACCUUGGGAAAGUGUUUUAAUUACUAUUUCAAUUGGACCUUGUCAUGAUAGACAUUAAUCUUUCUCUCCCUCUUAGUAUAUGUAAUUUGCAGGAAUUUGUACAAAUCGGUUUGUAAUUCAUAUUACUUCUUAAUCUCUUUCAAUUAGUUGAUUCCCUCUAGUACUAGACUAGAGUUUCUUUAACUAUUGGUAAGGAGACAUGAUUAAAAAAGGGUUUUGACCUGAGAUUAAAGAUUAAUUGGGUCCAACGCCCUAAUUAGCAAUGAAUGAUUGUCUUUCAUUUCUAAUGGCUCAAUGAAAAAUGUUUUAAUUGGAUUGAAAGCACGUAAUUAAAACGACACAACCUUCCCUAGAUCUUAUUCAACAAUGUUGGCUCAUUGAUUGAAUUAACCCAAUAAGUCCAUGGUCAUCCAAAGAGCCUAAGAUAACUAUAAAUUCCAAUUUCGAAGGAAUGCAAAAACCAUAGUAGUAGUAGUUACUUCCAAUAUUUGAAAAAAUUGUUUUUUGAUAUUGAUUUGUUUUUCUCAAAACAAAUAGUGGGAGUAUCAUACGCUACUAAACUAUAAUGAACACAAUUAGUAGUUAUAUAUAUCUCCAAUAUUUUGAAAAAUAUUUUGAUAUUGAUUUGUUUUAUGAAAACGAAUAGUGGGGAUAUCAUAUGCUCUACUAAUUUCAUUAACUUUGGACUAGUAGUUAUAAUAGGACACAAUUAUUUUAAUAUGAUUAAAUAAAUAAAAUGAUGAGACCUUAAAAUUCCUCAACCAACAUACAAUAUUAAGUUGAAAGCGGAGAGGUGCUUUGAACACUUCUUCGUGGCCUUCCACCAUGGUAGGCUCCAAUCGUUUAUGACUCGUACACCGCCUUCACCCUAUCAUGGGGGAGUGCAAAGUGCGUGCUUAUACUCAGGAGGAGUCUAUUUCAACAUUUGAUGUGGUGAAGGUAGGCAACGAGUGUGGCCAACAUCGUAUCAUCGUGAGGUCAUACUUGAACCCUUAUCUAAACCGGCAUGGUCGGUCAAAACUUAACUAAGAGAAAUGGUGCCAACAUCAUAUCAUUGUGAGGCAUUGUUCUCUAGAGGCCAAUAAGAUGGGUAAUCACAAGAGGUUGUUGUGAAUGGGUAGUAAUACCCUCUCAUUAUUAUUUUUGCUAGCCAACAUCGUAUCAUCGUGAGGUGGGCUUGGUAAUAGUG